UGAACCAGACUCCAACAAAACAUCCUGCCUCUUCUAAGGUGUAAGCAGGACCACACUAUUUUGUAUCCCUUGAGUCAAGCAUUUGGCUGUCUUUUAUGCAUAUCAGCUGAGACUGAGGAUCAACUGCAUCUUCUCCCCAGUCACUUACAGCCUUUGUCUGGUUCAAUGCUCCAAAACACCUAACAGGACUGCAGGCCUUGGCUAUAUCUGAAUGACCUCAGUUAAGCUGGCUGGAGUCUUCCCAGAGCCCAGAUGGAGGACAUGCUCCAUCACACCACCUCUGCAGAGGCAGGGGAUAUUAUUCCACAUAACAAUAUGCAGAGAUCCAUGGUGGAAGGAAGAAGGUUCCCAGCUGUUCAACUCUGAUGCUCAAGAGAUCAUGAAGGGUUCCCGUUGGACUUGUCCAUCUCAGCCAAGCCUGUCCCAUCCAUGGGUCAACAAGGCCAGGCCACGGACUAACGGUUCAUCAGGACACUCACAAACUGAAAAUAAACCUAGAGGCCCUUCAUCAAUGUACAUUCAUUGUGUAAAAAAACUGAAGUGGAAUGGAUUUCAUUAUCCUAGCAUUUCCUCUGCCACAGAUCUAGACCAAGGAUGGCUUCAUUUCUUGCAGCGCCUUUGAUUGCUGGGUGCAAAAGGUUUAUCGAGCUUAUGGAUCUUCCUCACUUACGCAGGCCUGGGGGAAAGGGAAGAGGAAUUCUAUCAACUCAAAAGGCAAAGCAACUCUGAUCUCCAGUCCUAGGCAUUAGUGACCUACAAUCUGUUGUCCACUGAGGAUCUAAAGAGAACUGGAAUGAUAGGAAGUAGGGCCAGUUAAUAUCAGGAUGACAAAAUGUCCCACUGUUUUCUGGUUUGCACCAUCAUCCAUUGUUUGCUUGAUCUGUGAGACUUAACAAAGCUGAACAUCACAAUACAAUUGGGCGAGGACAGGUAUUUAAAAAUUAAUCACUGUGACAGAAGCAUCUUUGAUGCAAAUUUUUAUAAAUUCCUGUGUCUUUGAAAUGACGGUAAGAACCUGGAGACUUAUAUUUAUUAAUUUCUUAGUAUGUUA